UAGGGAAUCUUCCGCAAUGGACGCAAGUCUGACGGAGCAACGCCGCGUGAGUGAAGAAGGAUUUCGGUUCGUAAAACUCUGUUGUUAGAGAAGAACAGCGCAUAGAGUAACUGUUAUGCGUGUGACGGUAUCUAACCAGAAAGCCACGGCUAACUACGUGCCAGCAGCCGCGGUAAUACGUAGGUGGCAAGCGUUGUCCGGAUUUAUUGGGCGUAAAGCGAGCGCAGGCGGUCAAUUAAGUCUGAUGUGAAAGCCCCCGGCUCAACCGGGGAGGGUCAUUGGAAACUGGUUGACUUGAGUGCAGAAGAGGAGAGUGGAAUUCCAUGUGUAGCGGUGAAAUGCGUAGAUAUAUGGGGGAACACCGGUGGCGAAGGCGGCUCUCUGGUCUGUAACUGACGCUGAGGCUCGAAAGCGUGGGGAGCGAACAGG
rnacentral:rRNA from 1 species